AUGCAAUCAGUUGUAGACAUUGUUGAAAGAGUACUAGGAGGAACGGCUGAGUCUUUGAGAUUGGAGGGUCUACAGGAUAAUGAUCUUUUCGCACUUCUGAACAAGCACGCGUUUUUUGGAGUGAAUCCUGAUGAUUAUAUGAACUUGCAAGAUAUUGGAAAGAAAAUCACUAAAAAGUUGAGUGGAAGCCCAUUAGCUGCAAAGGUAUUGGGCGGGCUGUUGAAUAACUCUAUGGAUAGUAUAUACUGGAACCGAAUGCUAAGAGAAAAUAUUUCUAGCAUUGAGCAUGGUAAUGAAGGUGUUAUGAAAGUUUUAAGAUUAAGUUAUCAUCAUCUUCCUCCACAUCUACAGGCUUGCUUCAGAUAUUGCAGCAUGUUCCAAGAAGAUUAUUGGUUCAGAAAAGCUGAUCUGGUACAGUUAUGGAUGGGCUCUGGACUGAUCCAGCAAUCUGCAGAUGAAGAUCAGAUACCAGAGGGUGUGGGUGAGCAUUAUUUGGGCAUUCUGACAAGGAAGUCUCUUUGA
rnacentral:rRNA from 1 species